rfam:Bacillus smithii strain DSM 4216, complete genome.
GAAUUUCCUCGUUAGGCGAGGCUCCUAUACAAACAAAAGCCACUGCCCAGAAACAUCGAAAGAUGCCAUUGGGUAGAACAGGUUUGGUCGGAUUAAGGCUUAACCCAAUGUGGCUGAGAGCAUGACUCUCUACGUUGUAUAGUGCUAAAGCUAAACUAGGGGGAAAAAG